GGCCGGGUAGCUCAGUUGGUAGAGCAGGGGAUUGAAAAUCCCCGUGUCGGCGGUUCGAUUCCGUCCUCGGCCACCA
rnacentral:tRNA from 2 species